rnacentral:lncRNA from 1 species
UUCAGAACGGCCACCUUCAUAAGGAGCUGUCAUGGAACUGUGGUGGCUUGCUCAUACAUCCAUCAGCGCAGCUUCCCCUCUGGAGCAAGGUCUGGAGUCCCCAACUCUUUACACCGGAGAGAGAGGGGUAGAGAUAAUCAACCAGCAAACAUUGCAUACAAGACUCCGCUCUUCCAGAAGGUACUGGGUGAGCCACCUCUUCAAUCCCAGCCCAGACUGGACCUUGUUCUCUUUCUAAAUGGAGCAGUUGCCGAAAAAGCAAAAUUGUAUGGUGAAUCCAAAAUAGUCCAAAACUAUGAAGCUGGGCAGUUUGGCUGUGUGGUGGAGCCCAUUAAUUAUAGUGUGUCCUGAUCGUGUUUAUUUGUCUAAACUCUUCUUGGUAUUGCAGAGCUGCACCCCUU